rnacentral:misc_RNA from 1 species
AAGUCGUAACAAGGUUUCCGUAGGUGAACCUGCGGAAGGAUCAUUAUCGAGUUUUGAAUCGGGGUUGUAGCUGGCCUCCCGAGGCAUGUGCACGCCCUGCUCAAUCCACUCUACACCUGUGCACUUAUUGUGGGUUUCAGGGGGCUUUUUGCCACCUGUACCUAUGUUUAUUUACAAACGCUUCAGUAAAAGAAUGUGUAUUGCUAUAACGCAUCUAUAUACAACUUUCAGCAACGGAUCUCUUGGCUCUC